ACCGAGGUUACCACGGCUAGUUGAGUUAAUGUUAGCCAUUGUUGGUCCUGGAUUGGGAUGAAUGUCUCCACACAUCAACAAAUGCGAGGACAAAACAGUAGGAUUGAAAGUAGUUUGGCAGUUUGAGUAAUAGUGAAUUCUACGAUUCAAAUAUUUACUUUGGAUAAAAACAACAAAGCGUUUCCGAUUGUUUAUGAUACAAUGCCAAUCCCUCAUAGUCCCGUAAAAGUCCUUCGGUAACGGUUCUUCGCAAGAAUCAUCGAUUAUUGGACCCACUUCCACAGACACAGUCAACAGGUAAACAAGAAUAAUGUUCA